ensembl:lncRNA
UCAGGUCCACAUAUGUUUAGCCGAAAUAUAUUGGUAUCUUUGCAAAUCAUUGAGCUGUUUUUACCAUACUAGCAUGCACCUUUCUGCAAACUUUUUUGUAGGACUUCCUGUUGAUAUUUCACCUGGAUCAAUCUCAAGACUUUUGUAGCUAUAAAAAAAAAAAAAAAAAUACUUAAGACCAGAGAUUUUUUCUUUGACAGGACAAAGCAAACAAGAUCAAAAAUAAUUCAAGGUGCACACAACAAGGUGUCUUCAGCCCUUGUUACCAAAUACCAGUUCUUGAGAGAAAAGACUGGCAGAGGAUGUGCUUAAAACAAAUUCAAGAAAAAAGAAAGAUCACCUUUGAUUAAUGUUGAAGAAAUAAAUGAAAUGUGUUGCAGGUUCA